GAGAGUUUGAUCCUGGCUCAGGAUGAACGCUAGCUACAGGCUUAACACAUGCAAGUCGAGGGGCAGCAUGGUCUUAGCUUGCUAAGGCCGAUGGCGACCGGCGCACGGGUGAGUAACGCGUAUCCAACCUGCCUUACACUCUUGGACAGCCUUCUGAAAGGGAGAUUAAUACAAGAUGUUAUCAUGAGUAAGCAUUUUCACAUGAUUAAAGGUUUACCGGUGUAAGAUGGGGAUGCGUUCCAUUAGAUAGUAGGCGGGGUAACGGCCCACCUAGUCUUCGAUGGAUAGGGGUUCUGAGAGGAAGGUCCCCCACAUUGGAACUGAGACACGGUCCAAACUCCUACGGGAGGCAGCAGUGAGGAAUAUUGGUCAAUGGACGAGAGUCUGAACCAGCCAAGUAGCGUGAAGGAUGAAGGUUCUAUGGAUUGUAAACUUCUUUUAUACGGGAAUAAACGAAUCCACGUGUGGAUUUUUGCAUGUACCGUAUGAAUAAGGAUCGGCUAACUCCGUGCCAGCAGCCGCGGUAAUACGGAGGAUCCGAGCGUUAUCCGGAUUUAUUGGGUUUAAAGGGAGCGUAGAUGGGUUGUUAAGUCAGUUGUGAAAGUUUGCGGCUCAACCGUAAAAUUGCAAUUGAUACUGGCAGUCUUGAGUACAGUUGAGGUAGGCGGAAUUCGUGGUGUAGCGGUGAAAUGCUUAGAUAUCACGAAGAACUCCGAUUGCGAAGGCAGCUUACUAACCUGUAACUGACAUUGAUGCUCGAAAGUGUAGGUAUCAAACAGGAUUAGAUACCCUGGUAGUCCACACGGUAGACGAUGAAUACUCGCUGUAGGCGAUAUACAGUCUGCGGCCAAGCGAAAGCAUUAAGUAUUCCACCUGGGGAGUACGCCGGCAACGGUGAAGCUCAAAGGAAUUGACGGGGGCCCGCACAAGCGGAGGAACAUGUGGUUUAAUUCGAUGAUACGCGAGGAACCUUACCUGGGCUUAAAUUGCAACCGAAUAUGGCGGAAACGCUAUAGCUAGCAAUAGCGGUUGUGAAGGUGCUGCAUGGUUGUCGUCAGCUCGUGCCGUGAGGUGUCGGCUUAAGUGCCAUAACGAGCGCAACCCUUGCCGAUAGUUACUAACAGGUUAUGCUGAGGACUCUGUCGGGACUGCCAUCGUAAGAUGUGAGGAAGGUGGGGAUGACGUCAAAUCAGCACGGCCCUUACGUCCGGGGCUACACACGUGUUACAAUGGGGGGUACAGAGGGCUGCUACCACGCAAGUGGAUGCCAAUCCCAAAAACCUCUCUCAGUUCGGAUUGAAGUCUGCAACCCGACUUCAUGAAGCUGGAUUCGCUAGUAAUCGCGCAUCAGCCACGGCGCGGUGAAUACGUUCCCGGGCCUUGUACACACCGCCCGUCAAGCCAUGGGAGCCGGGGGUACCUGAAGUGCGUAACCGCAAGGAGCGCCCUAGGGUAAAACUGGUGACUGGGGCUAAGUCGUAACAAGGUAGCCG
rnacentral:rRNA from 1 species